CCUACGGGUGGCAGCAGUAGGGAAUCUUCCACAAUGGGCGAAAGCCUGAUGGAGCAACGCCGCGUGGGUGAAGAAGGUCUUCGGAUCGUAAAACCCUGUUUUUAGAGAAGAAAGUGCGUGAGAGUAACUGUUCACGUUUCGACGGUAUCUAACCAGAAAGCCACGGAUAACUACUGGCCAGCAGACUCGUUAAUACGUAGGUGGCAAUCGUUAUCCGGAUUUGUUGGGCGUAAAGGGAACGCGAGCGGUCUUUUAAGUCUGAUGUGAAAGCCUUCGGCUUAACCUGAGUAGUGCAGUGGAAACUGGGAGACUUGAGUGCAGAAGAGGAGAGUGGAACUCGAUGUGUAGCGGUGAAAUGCGUAGAUAUAUGGAAGAACACCAGUGGCGAAAGCGGCUCUCUGGUCUGUAACUGACGCUGAGGUUCGAAAGCGUGGGUAGCAAACAGGAUUAGAUACCCUAGUAGUC
rnacentral:rRNA from 1 species